rnacentral:tRNA from 1 species
GAAGGGAUAGCUCAGUAGUAGAGUAUUCGACUGCAUAUCGAGUGGUCCCCGGUUCAAACCCGGGAGUCUGCUUCUUCA